rfam:Lysinibacillus manganicus DSM 26584 contig67, whole genome shotgun sequence.
GGCGGCGUAGCUCAGCUGGCUAGAGCGUACGGUUCAUACCCGUAAGGUCGGGGGUUCGAUCCCCUCUGCCGCCA